rnacentral:rRNA from 1 species
UACGUAGGGUCCGAGCGUUGUCCGGAAUUAUUGGGCGUAAAGGGCUCGUAGGCGGUUUGUCGCGUCGGGAGUGAAAACUCAGGGCUCAACCCUGAGCGUGCUUCCGAUACGGGCAGACUAGAGGUAUGCAGGGGAGAAUGGAAUUCCUGGUGUAGCGGUGGAAUGCGCAGAUAUCAGGAGGAACACCGGUGGCGAAGGCGGUUCUCUGGGCAUGACCUGACGCUGAGGAGCGAAAGCAUGGGGAGCGAACAGG